CGAGGGCCCGUUUCCGGGCGGCUGAUUCGAGGUCCUGUUUUGUCAUAAGCGGAGACUCUGAAGAGCUCCCUCGGGGUGGGGCAUGCCGUCCGAGGGUCGCUGCUGGGAGACCCUGCAGGCGCUGCGCAGUUCCGACAAAGGUCGCCUGUGCUACCACCGCGAUUGGCUGCUGCGGGGGGAGGAUGUUUUGGAAGAAUGUAUGUCUCUUCCCAAGCUGUCUUCCUACUCUGGAUGGGUGGUAGACCAUGUCUUAUGCCACACGCAAGAGAACCCACUUUCCUCUGAGACCGCAGUAUCCUCCAGAUCCACCUUAACCCUUGGCCAACCUUCAUCUGGUCCCAAAUCUCCUGUCAGAACCCCCACCUUCUCACCAACCUCCUCAGUAACACCAGAUGGAGCAGAGGGCAAACAUAAGUCCCAGUAUACAGAACCUAUGGUACUUCAGUCCUCCCGGGGGAUCAAGGUGGAAGGCUGCAUCCGAAUGUAUGAGCUGGUACAUAGGAUGAGAGGAACAGAGGGCCUGAGGCAGUGGCAAGAGGAGCAGGAGAGGAAGGUGCGAGCCCUCUCUGAGAUGGCAUCUGAACAACUGAAGCGCUUCGAUGAACGGAAGGAACUGAAACAGCAUAAAGAAUUCCAGGACUUAAGGGAAGUGAUGGAGAAGAGUUCCAGGGAGGCCCUGGGGCACCAAGAGAAGCUAAAAGCUGAGCAUCGUCACAGAGCAAAGAUUCUCAACCUGAAGCUGCGGGAGGCCGAGCAACAGCGCCUGAAGCAGGUGGAGCAGGAGCGGCUGCGGAAGGAAGAAGGCCAGAUCCGCCUGCGGAGCCUCUAUGCCCUGCAGGAGGAGGUGCUGCACCUCAACCAGCAGCUGGACACCUCUGAGCAGCACAGAGACACGCUGAAGUUUGACCUGUCUGCCUUCCGGACCCGAGGCAACCAGCUGUGCAGCCUUGUCUCGGGAAUCAUUCGGGCCACUUCUGAGAAUGGCUUUCCCACAGCAGAGGACCAGGCUGUGGCAGAGAGAGCCCUGCAGGAAAUGCGGGACCUCCUUACAAGCUUGCAGCAGGAGAUUGCCAGGGCCUGUGAAGACAAGAGGAGGCAAGAUGAGGAGGCGGCCCAAGAAAAGCAGCAAGAGUCAAAGAUGCAGCAGGGGCCAGAGGCCCCCAGAGAGACCCCAGCUCCCAACCAGGGCCCAGGAGGGAAACAGAAUGAAGACCUCCAGGUGAAGGUACAAGACAGUACAAUGCAGUGGUACCAGCAGCUACAGGAAGCUUCAAAUCAGUGUGUGCUGGCCUUUGAGGAACUGACCAACAGCAAAGAUAGUCAGGCCAAAAAGAUAAAGAUGGACCUCCAGAAGGCUGCCACCAUCCCAGUGAGCCAGAUCUCCACCAUUGCAGGCUCAAAGCUGAAGGAGAUCUUUGACAAGAUCCACAGCCUGCUCUCUGGAAAACCCGUUCAAUGUGGUGGGCAUUCUGUGUCAGUCACCCUGAACCCACAGGGCCUGGACUUUGUCCAGUACAAGCUGGCAGAGAAAUUUGUGAAACAAGGAGAGGAGGAGGUGGCCUCUCACCAUGAAGCAGCAUUCCCCAUAGCAGUUGUGGCAUCCGGAAUCUGGGAGCUGCAUCCCAGAGUGGGCGACCUCAUCCUUGCUCACCUCCACAGGAAGUGUCCCUACUCCGUUCCCUUCUACCCAGCUUUCAAGGAGGGAAUGGCAUUGGAAGACUAUCAAAGGAUGCUUGGCUACCAAGUGAAGGACUCCAAAGUGGAACAGCAGGACAACUUUCUAAAACGCAUGUCUGGGAUGAUCCGACUCUAUGCUGCCAUUAUCCAGCUCCGAUGGCCAUAUGGAAGCCGACAAGAGAUUCAUCCUCAUGGCUUAAGUCAUGGUUGGCGCUGGUUGGCACAAAUCUUAAACAUGGAGCCCCUGUCAGAUGUGACAGCCACCCUCCUCUUUGACUUCUUGGAGGUGUGUGGGAAUGCCCUCAUGAAGCAGUACCAGGUACAGUUCUGGAAGAUGAUCCUUCUCAUCAAAGAAGACUACUUCCCCAGGUGCCCUUCUCAUUCCUUUCAACACACUGGCAUUUCAGCCGAGGGAGAGGUUUUAGCAGCACCCAUCCUGCCUGCCUGCAAAGACCUUGGAAAGGAAUGUCCUCUGUUCUCCUUUAUCUCCUGGUUUGAGUAGGCAGCUGAGAUCAUUUGGACGAAUGACAGCAUCCUGAGCCCAGAAGUCAUCUCUUCGAGUCAUUCCACCUAAUCCUUCCUCUGGAUCAGCAGCGUCCCGAACUCCUCUCCAGGAGGGAGAAAUGUUUGCAGCGCCAGGAGAUUCCUGUCCCCAAGGGCUUUCUGACUUCCUCCUUUUGGCGUUCCUGAUGGCACUCCAUGGCCCACCAUCACCGUGCUGUUUCAGAGGGACAGGAAUAAAGCAACUGAAAACAGCUGUGUUUGGGAGAAGUCAGAUUUAGAAAUGCACCAGUAUAUGCUUUUAUAUGUUUGUACCUUGCAACUAGGAGAGGACACUUUUCGGGAGUCCCAGAAUCCAGGGGGUCUCUUUGAAGGCCAGAUACUCCUUAAGGGGGUCUGCAUGGCAGAGUAAAUGGCAUCGGCUCUUCUCAUUUCUGCAAAUGUGGUGAGAAGAGUGAUUUAGUGCUUGGUCUCAUCAUUCAUUUCCUUUGUGUCUAGUGUCUUUCAGAAAGUACAUAGUACCUUAACCAUUUCCCUCUGAGCUGAAGUGAGCCCACCACUUGUACUCCAUCCUCUCCCUCAGCCCAUGCUGCCCCCUGUUCAGAGUACAAGUGUUAAUAGUUGAGGCUCAAAUCCUUACACGUAAGUCUGGGUUAUGGUGGUUUUGCCUUUCUCAGCUUGUGAAGUAAUGAUAAAUUCAGAGGAAAUGCCUGAUAUAGACAUGGAUUAAGUCCCAAAUUGCAUCAGAGAUAGUUUAGCAUCUGGGACUGGGACUGUUAAUACAUGUUACGUUGAACAGGAAGCACUGUUGGUCCUAUUAAUUUGGGAUUUGGUCCCUGGAUGACUAGGGAUGCAUGAACCAGGACAGGUGUGGGGCGGGGGGGGGUUGUUUAUUCUUUAAUUUGAAUGAAGAUGGGCUGUAACGGGCUUGCAACAUUACACAUGAGCCAAGAAUCUAUAUGCAAUGAUUCAGGGGUUAAAGGUGUUUGGGAGGAAUUGGGAACUGCUUUAAAAUUGUUGACAUGACCUGAGUAAAGAGUGAUGAUAGAUUGGCCUCACUAAAGCCACUAUAGAAAUUCAGAGCUUGGCUGUUCAGUUAAGAAUUGAGAUUUGGGGAUCCCUGGGUGGCGCAGCGGUUUGGCGCCUGCCUUUGGCCCAGGGCGCGAUCCUGGAGACCCGGGAUCGAAUCCCACAUCAGGCUCCCGGUGCAUGGAGCCUGCUUCUCCCUCUGCCUGUGUCUCUGCCUCUCUCUCUCUCUCUGUGACUAUCAUAAAAAAAAAAAAAAAAAAAAAAGAAUUGAGAUUUGUUUUUGGAAAGGCUCAUUGUCUUUUGUACCAUAGACAACAGCCA